rnacentral:rRNA from 1 species
CGGAGGAUAUCUUGGCUCCCACAUCGAUGAAGAACGCAGCAAAAUGCGAUACGUAGUGUGAAUUGCAGAACAUGUGAAUCAUCGAAUUUUUGAACGCAAGUGGCCCUCGCGGGCAAUCCUGGGAGCAUUUUUGUUUGAGUGUCCCCCCAAACA